rnacentral:lncRNA from 1 species
CUGAAUACAUAGAUUGUUGAUACAUAGAUUAACAUAAAUACAUAGAUAAAUCAGAAAUUCCUUUAACUUUUCUCUUAUUUAUAAUUUUUUUAUAAAUUCAAUUAUUAAAUUGAAUUCAAACUAAAAGAAACCAACUAAUCUGAAUCUGCAACCUAUCGCACAAACAACAUGUUCACCAUCUUUUCCAAACUUUGAAAUUUCAUCUUACAACAUUCAAAUUUAGUGUUAUGAAGAAUUCAUAAGUAAUUCAAAAGCAACAAUACCUCUAUUUCUAUCAAUACCAGAUAUAGAACCCAAACAUGGAGUUAGGAAGCCAAUCAAUACAAUAAAUAGUUCAAUACUUAUGAACUCCAAAUGACGAUAUGGGCAUGUAUUUAGUGCAAGGGCAACAAACCCAAAAUAGAGGAAUUAGGAUUUUCUACUUGAGAUAAGUUCGACUAAAGUGGAUCGAAAGCUCAGAACAAAUCAGUAACAUAUAACAUCACCGCCUUAACCAUAAACACCACCGUCGCCCCCAUAAUCGCCACCGCCUAAACCGCCUCCAUAACCUCCACCUUUAUGGCGACCACCUCUGUAACCAUCACUACGUCCAUAGCCACCAUCACGACGUCUACUGUUUAUCAACCACCUCCACCUCCACCUCCGUAGCCUUCUCAUUCUUCAACGUUGUGAAUUCGAAGACUCUAGAUAUGCACAUUAAAGAAGACAAAAUAAUUAGAUCUGACUAGAUCUUAAUCAACAAACACAAAAAAAGGAUGUAUAUAUCCAUACAUAUGACCAAAAUUCGAAGAUCAAUGUUAUUUGUUUGCUAUUUAUUACUUGCUUUAGGUAUUUGAAAAUUGAAAAUUUGGGUUUUGCAUGUUUGGGUUAUUUUUAUUAUUAUGAUAGUUCUAAUCAUGUAUGGAAGUGCUUCUAAAUUAAAUGAAUCAUGAUAACGUGACAAUGAUUAGGAUUAACCCACGUGAAAUGAGUAAUGUGGACUUGGAUGUGGGGUCAUUCUUUUAUGUGUAAUAGGUUUAUGUUAAAAGUCAACUCAUUUAACGGAUUUUGUAACGAUUUGACAAACAUUUGUAGUUCACUGACUCGAUUAUUAAAAUUUUCAGUCCAGUGAUUCAUUUGUAAACGGAGAUCGAGUACAGUGGGAAAAAGUGGAUUUAACCCAACCUGUUUAUAUUAGUUUUAAGAAGUAAAAAGUGUUUGGUAAACUGAUUUUAGAACUGCUUAUAAUCACUUUUUAUGGAAAUAAUCUGAUUAUUUGCCAAAUCAAAUAAUCAGGUUUGACAAGUAUAUUACUAAUUUAUGCCUAUUUAUUUUAAUAAUUCUAUCAAUUAACCGUAUUUACUUUUCAAAACAUUCAUUUUUAGUAAUUUACACUUGAAAUAAGUGAUUAACAAAUUUUUUUAUACAAAGCAUUUUUCACUUCUUACUAGUUUAAGUGUUUUUUUAUUUACCAAACACAAACUACUUUUUGAAAACCGAUUAUAAGAUCACUAAUCACAUUUUUUUAGAGCUGCUUUGUUUUUUAAUUUUUGUUGGUCUUUUAAGCUACAGUGUUAUUGGGGUGUUUUUUAGCUUGUUAACACUUGGAAACAUUAUUAGAAGUCGUUGAACUUCUUUGCAUCAUCACAAUCAAUGUACUUUGCUUCAUCAAGCUGAGAAGUACUAGAACUACCAAACUUAACCUCCCUCCGUCUUAAUUGUAGUGACUGCCACUUAGUGGUGCACAAAUGGCCUGCGGCCUGGAGCCUGGCCUUAAUCCCACCUGAGCCCGACCUGGUCAAAGCUCGGCCUGGACCGGUCAUGCCCGACCUGCUAGACCAAGAACAGACCAUAAUUCAUGACUCGUAUCUGGCCUGGCCUAGCCUUCCAAAAAGUCAAGCCUGGCCUACGGCCUGGUUUGUAGCCUGGGUCAUAUUAGCAAGUUUUUUUAUAAGGAAAUCCUCCUUAUACUUGCAGCCCCCUUUCAAUGUGGGACUUAACAUUUACAGGAUAAACAUUGGACUUUAGGAUUGCUAUUAUAGAGUGAAGUCUUAUGUUCAAUUCAAGUUUAAUUCGAUGUGGGACUUUGAGAUUAUAGACUAUGGGCCACUAUUGUCAAUGCAUAAUAAAUGAAUGAAAUCAACUUGGGUGGGAUUUCUUUAAUCCAUCUCAUGAAGUAUUAUUGAGCUAGAAUAAAAAGUAAGCAACAAGUAUUAUUGGCAGCCACCAGCUAAGCUAAUAUCGUGACCUGUGCAAAUCUUACUCCAUCUACCUCUCAAAGAACAAGACCAACACACCCUCCCCCUCCAUGUGUUUGAUUGCGGUUUGAGUUCGAUUUUAUUCAUUCCAUUCACAUGGUUUGGGUUUGAGAUCUGGGAGUACUGAACUUCAUAUAACACUCAAUUGUACUCAAUGUAGUCUAUAUAUGCAUUUGUGUUGGAAGAAGGGUCUUGAGUUACUCUUCUUUUAGAUGUUUCAUCGUAAUAUUGUGUGAAUUACUUAAAGAUUAUGAUUAUAGCUAUAUUGUUUUUGCUGUGUUUUAGCUUGAGAUCUUGUACUUGUGUCUAGGGUAGUUCCAGUGUGCGUUUUCGGUAUGAAUUGGCUUCAAAUUUCAUUUUUUUUAUGGGAUAAGUUCAAAUGUCUAAAACUAAUGCCCCUUUAUGUGGAUUUUACUGUUCGUCUCCAGAUAUGUAGUCACACAGGGUUGUAUGAUGGAUCUGCUUACAUAAUUUAACAUGGGUUUUAUUUUUCUUUCUCCCAGUCUUUAGUUGUACUAGUUCUUAGUUGUACUAUAGGAAUGAGAGGCAUUUAGUUCAUUGCAUUUUUGUUUCAAAGUCCCACAUAGUCUGUUAACAUCUCUUGUCCCUACUUUUCUUCUAUAAAUAGAGGAGAGGUCAAGUUCGAAAUUUUCAAGUACAAUGCACUUGAGCUUGUGUUGGGUUUGGCUAAGCAUGGCAUAGUCCCACAUAGUCUAGUAAAAACUUUUUUGUCCUUGCCUUUCUUUAAUAAAUGGAGGUUUGGCUAAGCCUGACAUAGUGCCACAUAGUCUAGUAAAAAGUUACUAGUAAAAAGUUAUUUGUCACACCUUUCUUUAAUAAAUGGAGGAGAAGUUGAGUUUAAUUUUUUUAAGUAGAGAGGACUUGGGCUCAUUUGGGCCUAAUGAGGCCUGGCUUGACCUGGCCUGUAGGCCUCAACAGGUCACAUUUUUUUGUUCUAAACCUGGCCUGGCCCGGCCCGGCCCGGCCUGCAGUCAAAAAGUCAAGGCCUGACCUGGCCUGGUCAACGGCUAAAGCGGCUUAGGCCGGACCAGGCCAGGCCGGCCUGUUGUGCAUCACUACUGUGCCACUCUAUUUUGUGUUGUCCCAGAAAUAUUAAGCGACUUUGUUGCACAUAUCAAUGCACUUAUAGUUCAUUUUGGCUAUCAAUGUUAAGGGUAUAAUGGGGAAAAAGUAAAGUAUUGGUGAAGGACUCAUAUUCCUUAAAUAAGGAGACAUAGUAGUAGACUGUUGACUGUAAUACUUACCUGAAUUGUGGGAUUGUCAUUCAUAUAACUUGGCUAAAUAAAGAGAUGUAGUAAUAGACUUGAAAACUGUGAUUAAGAAAAAGAUACUCAAGUACACUACAAUCUCAAGAAUUUAAUGGAUCAUGGAAAGACCGAAAGAGUGAGUUAAAAAUAAAGGAAAAGGAAAAAGUAAAGAAAGUGAAAGGCACACUGAGUUUUAACAUCACGUAUGAGGUUGAGGUGUGUUGAAGUUAUAUGGUUAAAAUUGUGUUCGUUUAAAGGAUAUCCUUUUCAUUUUUUUUAUCCUUCUCUUUUUCUGAGAUUAGAACAUAUUGUAAGAAAAUGAGGCGAUAGUUUUUAGUUUUUUUGUGAAUAAAUAAUUCACAAGAAUGAGCUUAUCAUCCGGAACCUGAGCCCGAAGAAUGCAACAUGACAUGCCUGAAAUACAAAGUACAUGUAUGUUUGUUUAAAUCCAAGAUUAAUCAAAUUUGAGGUUGGACUACCCACCAAAAAAACUUGAGGUUGGAGUAGGGUAAUUCAGCCCAUCUCCAUACUGACAACCUUUAAAUGAGGGGUCUUUACCCUACUGUGAUGGUGUGAUAGACAUGGGUAAUUCAUCCACACUAACAUUGGAACCCUAAAAAUUAUUUAAACAUAUGCAUAUCAGCGUGAUAAUAAUUUGUCUCCUAGUUGGAUGGAUUCAUUAGUUUUGCAUUCAUGUUAGCUGAUUUGGCACGCAGUCCUCAAAGAUACAAAUAUUUAGUAUCUGAUUUACUUUCUUAAAUGCAUUAAAGGAAUUUAUACCUUAUUCUUGGGAUGGGAAAAUUUCUAGUUGCUUUAACUUUUAUACGGAAUUUAUUGGUCUUAUUCCUCUUUGAACUAUUUUUAAUUAUGUAUCCUUUGUAACAAGGAUUUAUUCAUCGAUUAUGGAUCAGGUUAGGAGGCUCUUGGAUGAUGAGCCUGGGAACUCGGAGUAUGAAGAUAUGGAAAAGGAGCUUGCAGAGGUGACUUUAUUCUUUUUGGCCCUAUUUAUUAAUUCAUCCAUUAUAAUAUUCUUUGGAUACGUGACACUUAAAUUAUUUUCAUCACCCACAAAUGUAGAGUAGAGCUUCUAGAGUUUGUCUGAGGACCUUAGUAGUUGAACUAAUGUUUUUAUGAAAAUAGAACACCCUCUAGUAAAUGUUAAAAGGUGUUCAUAGAACUGAUCAGACUUUGUUCUCUUUCUGUGUCUUUGUCUGCCUGUCUGUGUGUGCGCUUGUGAUAAUUAUGUUUGCUGAAACAAGUAAGUCUAUAAUAUUUUUGUAAGUCAUACAUCAAUUAAUUGCAAAUGAGUGAAUGACAUUUUCUUUAUCCCUGGGUUCACAAGGUGAGUAUUAUUUUUUUAAUAAUAAGCCUUGCACACAACUCUUUGAAGAAUCUGUAGAAAUUAUUCUAGAAAGUUAAUCGAGAUGUCCAUCACUUGUAUCUUGGUUCCUGUGCAGGUGUGCUAUAUGUCGUGAUGGCCAGUUUCCUUCUGUGUCUCCUGAUUUCAGAUGUUCACACUAAGAUUCUAAGUUCGACAUCCAUGACAUUUAGCUUUUCUGUUGUGAAAACUUGUGAUAUUAAUUAUUGACUUGGCUAAAUCUUUUGAGGGUGCAGGUAAUCUCUUUGACGGAAGAACUCCUGGAAACUGCAAAGCAAAGCAAUAAAUCAGGAUUGACUUUUGGAACAGAUGCUGAUGUAUCUCCUAGUUUGCACCGUCCUGGAGGAACCUUUCAACAUUAUCUGGUAAGUCUUUUCUGAAGUUCACUACAUAUUUCCUAUUAAAUUCAGAAAAAAUACAAACCACAUAUUAUAUUUUUUACUUGGUGCCCUUCUUUGAUUGAGAGAUAGUUUGUCUAUAGCAUGAAGUCAAUUCCUUUCCCUCUAGGGUGGUGAUUGAAGCAAUUUUGUACUCACUUUCAUAUUUUUAAUGUCUGUUUUUGUUUUAUCAAUCAGGAUUCAGAUACAAUGUCUGAUCAAUCGGACAAACUCCCUGUUGGCACUAAAAUUCAAGCUGUAUGGAGCGAAGAUGGAGAGUGGUGACCAUAUCUUUUUCUCCCUUUAAAAAACCUUCUUAUUUUUCAGCCUUUUCCCAGUUUUGCUUUAGUUUUACAGAUUCUUUUCUUUUUCUGUGUUUGAUUUAGUUGAAUGUUCAGGUAUGAUGCAACGAUCGAGGCACUUACACCAAAUGGCUAUUUAGUGUCCUAUGAGGGGUGGGGCAAUAAAGAAGAGGUAUGUGCCUACAACAACACAUUUGAUAAUAAUCGUGCUUUGACUCAUUGUAAUAUUCUCCAUCAUCAUUUUUAAAAAAAAAAUGGAAUUUAUCCCAUCUCUUUUAGUUCUGUCGUCCUGGUUGGUAUCUGAAAUCUUCUCAUUAUGUUGUCUUCGACACAUACUACUAUAUUUCCUUGUGCACCAAUAAAGAAUAAUUAUUUUUUUCCCUUGUAUUUUCUCCUUGGGGUGGUAUAUUGUAUGGCUGCAGCCUGCAAGUCAGUUGAGCUGUAGGAUGUUCGGGCUUGGGUUAACUAAGAUUCCAUCCCAAUCAAGCUCAGUUUGAUUUCAGUUAAGUGUUGGGUUCUUCUGGUCAAGGUCGGCUGAUGGCUGUGCAUAUGCCUAAAUGGUUCAUGAGCCUGCUCAGCUUACGCUCAUUACACAACUUUUCUUGUCUCAUUAGACAACAAUAAUUUUUAGGGCUUUAAAACGAUCCUAGCUACUUGAGCGACUUGUGAUUUACUUGUUUAGGAUUGUCCGAUAACGGUUUGAAAGAGAAACAAGCCAUAACUUACCAGAUUUUUGAGCUCGUGGAUGUGGUUAGUUAAUUGAUUUGUUUCUGAUAUAUUAUUCACGUUUUCCUACUUGCAUCCUCUUUACUGCUAUUUGAUUAAAACAAAAUUGUUUACUUAUAAGAAGUUAUACGCAAAGUACAGUCUCUAUUUGCUUCUACUUCUAUAAUUGCAGUUUAUCAUUGUUUGGUUAUUUAUUUGAAAGAUCACAUGGAUCAUAGUGUGGUACUGAUUAUUAGUACUUCCAGGUGGAUCCUGAUAACAUUAGGUCUUUACAAGAAGGAGCUGUCGAUGCUCUUUUAGAAGCUGAGAAGGAAGCUGAGGCUACAAAGCUUGCUCUUAAGCGGAAAAUUGCUCAAGCUGCUUCUUCUGAUGCUGACUUCCAGUCACGAAGUUUACCAGCAAAGCUGCGAAUUGAACCUGAAGACCCUGAAGAUGUGGUGAGUAUGUUUGUUUUGUUUUUGUGGUUUGUGGUGAGUAUGCGUCAUAUCCAAUUUUUGAGAACUGUUAAGGGACACGAGUUAUACGAUUCCCCCUUACUACUAGUUGUUUUCUAGGCAAUUGAUGCAAUCAAAUUACCUCGACUGCUUUAUAUUAAGCAGUUGUUGAGAUUCGGUUGCCAAGUAUAAUAUUGGCCAGACUCUGAGCAUCCCAGUUUGGUGAUUGUAUGUGGUUCAGGAUCUAGCUUCCUAACUUUAUGGGAAAAUGAAACUGGAGCUCCAUAACUUCCCCUUGAAUUUGGAGUGUUCCAAUUUUAAUUUUGAGUGACCUUCCUGGUUUUUCAGUCCUUGGAAUAAUGCCAAGUUGUGGCAAAAUAGUUAGCUGUCUUCUUGUUUUACCUUGAUAAAUGUCUUCGAUUAUUUAUGUGCUGUAUUUGCCUUGUUAUCUUCCCUAUUGUCUACAGAAAGCAACCAAACGUAAGAAGAUACAUGCUUUCAAGUCAAAGAUGCGGAUGGAGCAACUUGAGGUGACACAGAAUAAGAGGCAGAAUGCUUGGCAACAAUUCCAGACCACCAAAGGUCGGGCUAAGAAGGUAUGCUCUUCAGAAUUUUGCAUUGCAAAAUGUUGGUCAUCCUAAAAGUAAUGGCAUUACUUUAUAUAAUAGCUUGUAAGGUACCUAUCCACGAGUAAAUCUGGCAAUACUGAAAUUUUUAGGACAUUAACUCAGUAAAACUCAGCAGAAGCAAUAUUUGUUAUGCCCUACAUUAUGAUGUUUCCUAGGUUCAGAAAAUUAUAGGAUAGAUAGCCAGCCAUGUGUUGGAGGUGAUGAGAGUGUCGGGAAUAAAAAAAGGCAGGAGCGGAAGUAAGGGAAGGGGUAGCGGAGAAAGGAGGGAGGGAUUAAAGCCAGUGUUCUAAAAGUCGCUAGUCGGUCCUAUGUCGGUUGGCUACCGACUAGCGACUAGGGGAUUAAUCGGCUAGUCGGAUUUUCAAUUUUAAAAAAAAUAUAUAUAUUCUCCUUCCUCCUUCGUAAGUUUUGAAUAAGUAGAAUAACAUAAGUAACACAAAUCAUCAAAUAAUUUAAUAAUUUAAUUUAUAACUGAAGUUGAAAAAAUUUAAAACUUUAAAUGAAAUAUUACAAUUAACUAAAAAUUAACUAAUUUAAUUUAUCCAACCUUUUCUUUAAUGCUUAUGCCUAAGCCUUAUAUCAGUAUGCCUAAGACUUAUAACAAAACUUAGUUUACUGCUUAUGUCUAAGCCUUAUAUCAGUAUUCAGAAGCUGAGAGAGAGAGAGACGAGCCGGAUGAGCAGCAGUCGAAGAUGAAGAGCAGGCGAGCAGCAACAGUCGUCGUCGUCGGAGCAGCAACAGCCGUCGGUCGAAGAUCCAGUCGUCGGCGUCGUCGGUCGAAGAUCCAGGCGGCGUCGGCAUCGUCAGCGGUCGAAGAUCCAGUUGUCGUCGUCGGCAGCAACAGUUGUCGUCGUCGGCAGUCGUCGUCAAAGAAGAUCCAGUCGUCGGUCGAGGAUCCAGUCGUCGUCGUCGAAGAAGAUCCAGUCGUUCCGAUUUUCCCUGACUUUACCGACUAGCCGAUUUGAUCCCGACUAAGUCGGUCAGCGACUAAUCAAAAGACUAGGGCCUGGUCGACUCGGCGAGCCUCCGACCCCGACCUAGUCGGCCGACUAGUCGGCCGACUAGACCGACUUUUAGAACACUGAUUAAAGCUUUGAGCAUCCAUUGAUAUGACAUGCAAAUCAAAUUUUCAGAGAUCCUAAUUGAUAUCCAGUGAUCAAAUUUAAAGCCAAUUUAAGAAAAUAUUAUUUGACAAGAAGAGUCAUUUGAGCAACUAGCAGAAAAAAUUAAUGGAGUUGGUGGAAAGUAACAGCAAUAACAUGAAAACAUCACAUUAUGAGUGCAUAACAUGUGCAGUGUAUCCAACUUUUAAACAGAAUAAAGAACUGUGGCACCUAUGUACUAGCAGCAGGCAAUUGAGCAUUGCGUCUCCCUUUUUGAGGUGGACAUCAGACAUCAGAUAUCAGAUACAGCUCAAGCUAGCCCUGGUUGUUGAAGUACUUGGUCACUUUUAUGUCUCACUUUGGCUAUAUGGCAUCAUCCAGAACUAUUUACUCUCUUAAUGAGCAAGUUACUGGGUAUGGGUCAUAUUCACAUGAACUUUGCCAUAGGAUUUCAAUCUGCCCUUCCAAGCCUGACUAUCCUAGGUGGCUAGGUCUUUGCAUAAAAGUUGAGUCCAGUUCACCAAAGAGGUAUCUUAGCAGCUUCCUUCCUAGCAGUAUUUUCUUGUUUUGGCAACUAUGCCUUACAUAUAUUCAGUCUGUAGUUAAAUUUAUCCUACAAGCUUCUCUCAUCACAGUUUCUAAUUAAUUGCAAUUAUUUUAUCAACGAACUAGUAAUGUAUCUUGAUCUUGUUUCAUUUGUCUACAAGUCCUGGCUUGAUUAGCCUAGUGCAGGGUAAGUGGGUAACACCUGUUUACAAAUUUCAUUAAUGUUCAUUAUAGUUUAAUCUCCUGGCAUAUUUUCAUUUUUGACUUUCUAGUAGAAGUACUUCAAUAUAGACGUUGGAGUCUGUAUCCUGUUCAAGAUGGUAACCUUCUCUGCUGUAUUUUGCAAAAAACGUGUCUAGAUUUGCGGAUGGUUUUCACUCUACGAUCUGUAAAUUUUUGUUUUUUUCCCACUUACAUAGAGGUAAGGCUGCCUACAUUCGGCCUUCCCCAGGCCCAUCACCCCAAGUUAAGUCCGUGAAAUAAUGUUUGACAUGUAGGCUAUGAUAGUGUAAUCUAGAAGAAAAUUGAUUUACAUUUGAGUGCUUAUUUCAUAUUUUUCUAUAACUUCUGGUUGUACUAAUCUGGCAUUCCCCCUCCCCCCCACCACCCCCAGAUUGGUUUCUUCUCGGGUCGUAAAAAGGAGAGCAUCUUCAAGUCUCCAGAUGAUCCUUUUGGAAAGGUUGGCGUUACCGGAAGUGGGAAAGGUUUGACAGAGUUUCAGAAGAGGGAAAAACACUUGCAUCUCAAGGGAGCAAAUGCUGAGGGCACAGAUGAGUAGAGAUAGUUGAGGAGGUGCACUGAUUUCCUAAUGUAUGUUAUAUAUAUAGGGUACUAUUAUUAUGUUUUUCAGUCUCUUGCAUUAGCAAAUAGUCUUGGCUUUUAUGCAGAAGCAUUGUGCUAGCUAGAUUUCCAUAACAAAGGAAGUAGGUUCUGAACCUCAGAAAAGCUCUUCAUUUCAACUCAUGGGGUUUAUGGUUUUGUUUUGGUUAAUCAAUAUUGCUUCUUAUCUCUAACCCUUUAUAAUUAAUGAUUGUAAUCAGAUUUUGAGGUGUUAGUGUUUCAUCAUCCGUUUAUUAAUUUAAUGAUGCACGUUUAAUUAAGUUACAAUACAGGCAUAAUAUGAGUAAUCAUUAAGAUAAUACUAGUCUUAAUUAAUUAUACUCCUUCCGUCCAAGUUAAUUGUCUAUUUACCUUAAGUUAUCUAUUUUUUUAUAAUAAUUUGCCUAUAAUACCCUUAUUAUUAAUUGUUAUAUUUCUAUUCUCUAUGUAUAUUUAUAGAGCAUCACUAGUAAUGUGCAGAAACUAUGCAAUUAUAUGAGAAUUUAAAUAUGGAUAAUUUUGUUAUUUGAUCUUUCUUAAUAUACGCAAAAAAUCAACUAGGAUUUUUAUCCUGGAUUGAGGUAGUAUAGUUGAUUGAGAAGGGGUAGGAAUUCAAUAUAUUCUAGGUGACAUGCGUCUGCAGAUUAGCAAUGCAUCGAAAACAAUAACAAAGAAAUUGAAAGAAAAUAAACAUACAAGUGGUUCACCCAAGUAUUGGGUUAGUAUUUGUUGAUGGUGAUAAAUUAAUAAACACUAUUUUGAUAUUUUUAUAUGAUUCUCCCUCACCUAAAGUGAGACCCACUUUAUAAAAUAUCAAAAAACACGUGAAAAUAUCACUUCCAUUAUCAGAAAACUAAACUUGCAGUGCUGGAUUUAUAUAUUAUGAGUACGUAGUUUAAUAGUUAUUUCUAAAUUAAGCUGGCCUAGGCAUUACCAAUAACAUUAAGAAAGCUUUACAUGAAAAUGGGAGCCCAAGAAUCAUACUUGACAUAAUAUUAAAUUUCAAUUACUUUUAGAAAACAUUUUUUCCACCAAAUCUUUACUUGAAUUAUUUAGUAUGAGCCUUAAUAAAGCUUUUACUAAAUCUAAUAUCCCUUGUCCCCAAAAAAAAGAAAAAAAAACAGAGAGAAGAAGUUCCUUCUCUUCCUCUCUCUUGAUAUAAAUCCGGCUUGCAGUAAUUAUAUCCAUUUGCUGUAUAAUAGGAAUACAUGUAGGUAGAGCUUUAUGCCAUGAAGGGGCCAUGCAUGCUAGUCUUUUAUGCAACAUUUUCAGGAGCAUUGAAUCAGUGGUGAAAGGAGAACAGGAAUAUAUAUAUAUAUAUGGGGUUCCAUCUAUAGCAACCGGUUGCUGUAGAACAACCUUUUUUUUGGCCUAUGAAAUUUCGACUGAAACAAUAAAAAAAAAAUUAAAAAAAUUCAUAAGCCAAAAAUAGAAUUGCUCUACAGCAUGCCCUAUAUAUAUAUAUAUAUAUAUAUAUAUAUAUAUAUAUAUAUAUAUAUAUAUAGAGCCCGGAUCAGAGGCAUUCCGCUUAAAUGACAUUAUCCCUUAAACGACAUUACCUAUUUAAGCCUCCGUGUUUUUCCAGUUUAACAUUCUCUCUCCUCUGCCCAAAACAAAAUUUGAGCUGCGAUGCUCUAUUUCUCUCCUUCACAAAACCUUCCUAGCAAAAUUCGAAUCAAGCAAGAAGACGGAGACCAAGAAUCGAAGUUUAUGCCCAGAUCUCGACUUCGAUUCCGUAUACCCUUUCUUUGUUUGUGUAAUUUCGGUAAGAAUUGACCCAUCAUUUUAUUCGUAUUGAUCUUCCUUGUUGAUCUUCCUUUCUUUAUUUGUUGUUGUUUUUUUACACAGAUUAGAGAUAUUUAUACAUGUAAUGGGUAUAAAUCGAAGAACAGUUGUAUUCUCAUUAUACAAUAAAAUAAAUGUGUAAAUAUCGAGAGAGAGAGAGAGACGGACAGUUUAUCGGCUUUGAUGAUUACCUUCUCGGGAGCAUAAACCCAUUACAUGUAUAAAUAUCUCUAAUCUGUGUAAAAAAACAACAACAAAUAAAGAAAGGAAGAUCAACAAGGAAGAUCAAUACGAAUAAAAUGAUGGGUCAAUUCUUACCGAAAUUACACAAACAAAGAAAGGGUAUACGGAAUCGAAGUCGAGAUCUGGGCAUAAACUUCGAUUCUUGGUCUCCGUCUUCUUGCUUGAUUCGAAUUUUGCUAGGAAGGUUUUGUGAAGGAGAGAAAUAGAGCAUCGCAGCUCAAAUUUUGUUUUGGGCAGAGGAGAGAGAAUGUUAAACUGGAAAAACACGGAGGCUUAAAUAGGUAAUGUCGUUUAAGGGAUAAUGUCGUUUAAGCGGAAUGCCUCUGAUCCGGGCUCUCUCUCUCUCUCUCUCUCUCUCUCUCUCUCUCUAUAUAUAUAUAUAUAUAUAUAUAUAUAUAUAUAUAUAUAUAUAUAUAUAGCUAGC